rnacentral:rRNA from 1 species
GAUGAACGCUGGCGGCGUGCCUAAUACAUGCGAGUCGAGCGAACAGACGAGGAGCUUGCUCCUUCGACGUUAGCGGCGGACGGGGGAGUAACACGUAGGUAACCUACCUAUAAGACUGGGAUAACUUCGGGAAACCGGAGCUAAUACCGGAUAAUAUUUCGAACCGCAUGGUUCGAUAGUGAAAGAUGGCUUUGCUAUCACUGAUAGAUGGACCUGCGCCGUAUUAGCUAGUUGGUAAGGUAACGGCUUACCAAGGCAACGAUACGUAGCCGACCUGAGAGGGUGAUCGGCCACACUGGAACUGAGACACGGUCCCGACCCCUACGGGAGGCAGCAGUAGGGAAUCUUCCGCAAUGGGCGAAAGCCUGACGGAGCAACGCCGCGUGAGUGAUGAAGGUCUUCGGAUCCUAAAACUCUGUUCUUAGGGAAGAACAAACGUGUAAGUAACUGUGCACGUCUUGACGGUACCUAAUCAGAAAGCCACGGCUAACUACGUG